rnacentral:siRNA from 1 species
GCCUAGGAAAUGUGAUGUUAC